GCCCAAACUAUUGGUUCUCCUCUGUAGGUCAAAAGUCGUGUUGAACUUGGAUGUGUUCCACUGCUGGAUAAGUUGUUACGAAACUUUUUGAUCAGACUUUGGAGCGGGCUUGGUCCUCACGCGGUCAACCAGUUCUUCCCUCGUUAAGUAAUGCGGCGAGGAUUGGUGAAUCAACUCAACUAACCUGAAGAAUGUGUUCCUCAUGUUCUAUGUGUGUGUGUGUGUGUGUU